GACGACGCUGGCGGCGUGGAUUAGGCAUGCAAGUCGAACGGUAUCAUCCUUUCGGGGGUGAGGAGAGUGGCGAACUGGUGAGUAACACGUAGGUUAUCUACCCUCAAGACGGGACAACCCAGGGAAACUUGGGCUAAUACCGGAUGUGAGCAACUUUUAGUUGUUUGAAAGGUGGCGUAAGCUGUCGCUUGGGGAUGAGCCUGCGUCCUAUUAGUUAGUUGGUGAGGUAACGGCUCACCUAGGCAAUGAUAGGUAGGCGGCCUUAACGGGUGGUCGCCCACACUGGGAUUGAGAUACGGCCCAGACUCCUACGGGAGGCAGCAGUCGAGAAUAGUCUACAAUGGUCGGAAGACUGAUAGUGCGACGCCGCGUGAACGAUGAAUCCCUUCGGGGUGUAAAGUUCUUUUAUAUGUGAGCAGUGCUUCUUAUAUUAACAGUAUGGGGAGAGAGAUAUUAGCAUAUGAAUAAGCAACGGCUAACUCCGUG
rnacentral:rRNA from 1 species